rnacentral:rRNA from 1 species
GACCCGUCUUUGGAGCACGGACCAAGGAGUCCAACAUGUGCGCGAGUCUAAGGGUUUGAUAAACCUGGAGGCGAAAUGAAAGUGAGCUCCUUUUUGGGGCAGGCCGAUCCCUUGUCAGGAACUGGGCUUUGCAGGGCUUUAGGCAAGAAAUUGCUUUUGGCUUUUGCUUAGUUUUAGUUUUUGGCUGUCUUUCUGCCUUUUAGGUGGUUAGAUUUUGGGCGCAGGCCGAGGACUUGUUAUAGUGCGGCGCGGGCAACGGGUUGUUUUCGGGCAACCUUAUCCCGAUGUCCGCCGGCAAGUACCUGAGAGCGCAGCCGUUGGGACCCGAAAGAUGGUGAACUAUGCCUGGCGAGGACGAAGCCAGAGGAAACUCUGGUGGAGGUCCGAAGCAGUUCUGACGUGCAAAUCGAUUGUCAGAGCUGGGUAUAGGGGCGAAAGACUAAUCGAACCAUCUAGUAGUGGGUUUCCUUCCGAA